rnacentral:rRNA from 1 species
AAACUAACAAGGAUUCCCCUAGUAACGGCGAGUGAAGAGGGAAGAGCCCAAGAUUGAAAGCUGGCGUCUUCGGCGUCCGCAUUGUAAUCUCAAGAAGUGUUUUCCGCUUCGGACCAAGCCUAAGUCCCCUGGAAAGGGGCAUCAUAGAGGGUGAUAAUCCCGUACAUGGCUUGGAGCGCCCGAGGCUUUGUGAUACGCUUUCUAAGAGUCGAGUUGUUUGGGAAUGCAGCUCAAAAUGGGUGGUAAAUGCCAUCUAAGGCUAAAUAUUGGGGAGAGACCGAUAGCGAACAAGUACAGUGAUGGAAAGAUGAAAAGAACUUUGAAAAGAGAGUUAAACAGUACGUGAAAUUGCCAAAAGGGAAGGGUAGGAGGUCAGAGAUGCGGCCUGGGAUUCAGCCUUGCUUUUGCUUGGUGUUUUUCCCAGAUUGCAGGCCAACGUCGGUUUUGGGCACUGGAGAAGGGUAGGAGGAACGUGGCACCCCUCGGGGUGUGUUAUAGCCUCCUACUGGAUACAGCGACCGAGACCGAGGACAGCAGCGUACUCGCAAGAGCGGGCCUUCGGGCACCUUUACGCUUAGGGCGUUGGCAUAAUGGCCCUCUACCACCCGUCUU